UAUUAGAUGACUGAAAUUUUAAGUAUUGAUCUUUUAAAUCAUAAAUAGUAUUAUUACUUCUAAUAU
rnacentral:tRNA from 1 species